ACGGAAGGCAGCAGUGAGGAAUAUUGGUCAAUGGACGGAAGUCUGAACCAGCCAAGUCGCGUGAAGGAUGAAGGUAUUAUGUAUUGUAAACUUCUUUAGUCGCAGAGAAAUAAGGUGCUCGUGAGCACUGAUGCUAGUAUGCGAAGAAUAAGGAUCGGCUAACUCCGUGCCAGCAGCCGCGGUAAUACGGAGGAUCCGAGCGUUAUCCGGAUUUAUUGGGUUUAAAGGGUGCGCAGGCGGUCUUUUAAGUCAGUGGUCAAAUUGCGGAGCUCAACUCCGUCCCGCCAUUGAUACUGGGAGACUUGAUUGCGGUCGAGGUUGGCGGAAUUCGUCGUGUAGCGGUGAAAUGCAUAGAUAUGACGAAGAACACCGAUUGCGUAGGCAGCUGACCAGGCCGUAAAUGACGCUCAUGCACGAAAGUGCGGGGAUCGAACAGGAUUAGAUACCCUGGUA
rnacentral:rRNA from 1 species